GUUCACAGUGUCUGGUAUGAUGCUAUGUUUUAGCUUUGGGAGCAAAACAGUAUUGCUAAUACACUGAUGUUUCGGUGUUGCUGAGCAGUGCUGCACAGAGCCACAGACAUUUCAGCUCCUUGUGCUGCGCUGCAGUGAGGGACUGAGGGGCAACAAGGAGUUGUGUGGAACGGAACCAGCACUCCUGACUCAAACUGGGCACAGGAAUGUCCGAUGCAAUAUGGCAUCAUGUGAGAAAAAUACAAAACUGCGGGGAGUUGGCUGGGGGGGCACUGCUCAAGGACAGGCUGGGCAUUGGUUGGCAGAUGGGGAGCAGCUGUGUCGUGCAGUGCUUGUUCUGUAAAUACAUAUCAUCAUUACUGUUGUUUUCCUUUUCCAUUUUCUGUCUCAGUAAAUAUUUUUUAUCUCAACCCAUGAGUUAUUUGGGUUUCUCCCCUCCCCUGUCUUCUCUCCCCCCAUCCUGGUGGAACGGGGCAGGGAGUGAAUGACCACAUGUGUGGUGCUGCACUGCUGCCAGGUGAAUCCAUGGCUGGCUUUGACCAGAACAGAGAAAAUAAGUGCACAAUUGGGAAUACCAAGCAUAGUCUGUUAAAGAGAGGCAAGGAGGUCCCCUGGGCUUGUCUGCAUCGUUCCCAUAGUGUGGAUCAGGCCCUGCACCCAGCCUAGGUCUUGCUCCCAGCCUAGGCCUCUCUCCCAGCCUAGGCCUCACUCCUGACGUAGGCCCCGCUCCCAGCCUAGGCCUUGCUCCCAGCCUAGGCCCCGCUCCCGUACUAGGCCCCACUGCUGGCCUAGGCGCCUCUCCUAGCUUAGACCCCACAACAGGCCCUGCUCCCAGCCUAGGCUCUGCUUCUGGUCCAGGCCCAACUCCAAGCCCAGGCCCUGCAUGAGGCCCCAGUCCUGAUCUGGGAAGGAGAGGAAGUGUCUGCGGUUGAAUCCGGACGUUCCCGUGUGGGCCUCCAAGCAGCGCAUUCUGUGCACCCUCAACCACAGCCUGAAGGAUGUGCUCAACUACGGGCUCUUCCAGCCGGCCUUCAAUGGCAGAGCAGGGAAGUUCCUGGAUGAGGAGCGCCUGCUGCGGGAGUACCCCCUGAAUCCCGACACUCCCGUCCCCUACCUGGAGUUCCGGUACAAGCGGCGUGUGUACACCCAGGCUUUACUGGAUGACAAGCAGUUUGCCAAGCUCCAUACCAAGGUAAGGCUGGAGUUGAGCCUGUGAGCUCAGAGCCCUGAGUGCAUGCACAGCACCAAUGGUCCAUGCUGAUGGGCAGCGGUCUCUGAGGGCACCAGGACCUGAGGGGGUUCAGCCUUUCUCGCUCGCCGGAGCUCAGAUCCCUCCUGUGAGCUGCUGGUGUGGCCAAAGCCGGGGUGGUUUUUGUGCAUUUGGUGCAAUUGUGUGUGUUGUGGUGGGCACAUGGUGGGCACUGCUCCGUUGGAGGUCUGGGUGCCAGCUGUGUGCAGGGCAGUGCAGGGGAGCACACGGAGGGUUGGCUGAAGAGCAGCUUUGUUCUGUUCUGUGCCCUGGGUGGGUGAUGGAACGCCCAGGAGCACAAUGUGGACACUGAGCAGCCUGCUGUCCUCCCACUCAGGGGCUGCUGCACACCUCCACUGUUGGUCUGCCGCUCCAGGCACCGUGGGCAGCGAGGGAGGAAUGUAUGAAGGUUAAUGGCUGGGGGUGUCCCUGGUGGCACAGCUGGCACUGCGGGGCUGGGGCGGUGGGGGUGAUGGGUGCUGUGGGGCUGAGGUGCUGGGAGUGAUGGAUGCUGGGGUGACAGGCACUGUGGAGCUGGGGCACUGGGGCUGACAGGUGCUGGGCACGCAAUGGUUGGGUGGACGCUCUCCUGCGUUGCUCCUUCCCAGCCAGCUGCAGCAGCUCCAUGAUAUCGUUUCUCAUCUAAGAAACCAAUAGCAAUGAGUGUGGAGAGAUCUGGACCAGCAGAGGAUUUCUGUUGCCACUGAUAAUUGUUCCCUGAGGCACAGGGCUUGUGGGGAUGGUGUUGGUUCCUGGGAGACUGGGGCCAGCAGUGGGCAGGAGGAGCGGGCUGGGCAGCAUUGGUGUGGCUGGGGGUGGGAGGACACCCUCAGCACCCACGAAAUGCAUCCCAUUUCUAGGGGAUCCCGUGGGGAAAUGGGGCUCAUGGCAGAGAGCAGAGCUGUGGAGGGCUCCUGAGGUACCUGUGCAGUGGAGGAAAGUGCCAGGAGGCUCCGGGGUUCUUGUUAAGAAGGCUGUAGGAUGCAGAACUGCUCAUGCUGUAGGGCUGCUGGCUGCUGGCUCGCUCCUGCUCGUGUGUGUUCUGUGAGGGAGGCAGGAGGGAGGUGUAAGCUCUACAUGAACAUGCACAGCAGCAAGACCAGAGCUGGGUGGAGCCACAGGCAGAACACGAGGGGAAUAAAAAAAAAACAACAACUUUGUCCCAAAGGGCUUGACCUACUGCAAAGGUUAAAAUCUUCAUGGGAAGAAACACGUCCUCUGUCUUCCUUCAGCAGAGUAGCAGAAAGGAGGAAUAAAAUGCUGCCAGGGCUCAGAUCUGACUCAUGAAGAUGAAAGUCGUGAGGUUUCUGUCUUGUGGCAUAAGAAUAUCCAAGCAGCAGAUCUGGAAAAGGCUCAGCAUCUCCCUGGCGCCAGGAAACAUGAAUCACUCUGAGCCCUGCCAGUGGGAGCCACGCUUCCUGCAGGGAGGGCUGAGCUGGGGAGACCCGGGCGGCAGCGUCUGAGGGCAUCCCCAGGAGUGUGCAGGAGCCAGAAAUGUGCUUUAUUAAAUAUUCACUUAAUCUCUGUGCUUUAAUGUCUGCUUAAAAUAACAAAUCUCCUUCAAGUCGUUUCUUUACUUUUAAGCUGUCCCUUGCUACUGAGGGACGGCAUCCAAGGGAGAUGUGCAGCCCAGCUCCCAUUCGCCUCCAUCAGGAGGAUGCUGAUGUUCUCCUGGAGCUGCGGUGCUCCUGGGGCCAGCAGAGCCCCAUUCCUCUCCAGUGCAUGGCUGAGCAAGGGCGGGAUUGUUUCCGUGUUAACUGAAACGAAGCCUUAUCUCCUGGGCAGUGAAAUGCUG